AAAUAAGUUAUGAAGGCAAAAAUAAAAUGAAAGGACGUGGUGGGGUAGCUAAAAUGGCACGUAAUAAAAAAAUUGUUAAUGAACUUGCUAAAAAGGAAUUUGUGAAGAAAGUGAAAGCUUUGAAAGAAAGUGGAGGGAAAAAUAAGAUUUUAAAAGCAACGAAACCUGCAAGUGCUUUGGAUCGAUUCUUACCUAAAAAAUAAACUUAUUUUAAUAAUUAUUAUUAAAUAAACUGAUUGAAACAAUAA